GGGAAACAGUACCUCUCACCCUCAUCCUCUAUUUAAAGACCCUCCUUGGUGCCACUUUCCCACAACACACUGAAAGGAAAGGCCAGAUGUACUGAGCACAAGAAAGCAAUUAAAUUAACAAAGAGAGCUAUAUAUAUAUAUAGCUAAAACAUCUAUAUAGUCAUCAUGUCAGGGCAGAGAAGGUCGUCAAGAACUUCAAAGUUCACUGAGAUUGAGAUUAAUGAACUUGUGUCUAGGUUACAAGUUCUGCUUCUGCAAGGGAACCAAAGAGGCAACUCAAGGCAAUCAGCGUCCAAGAUCUUGCAGGAAACCUGCUGUUACAUUAGGAAGCUGCAGGAAGAGGUGGAACAGCUCAGUGAGAGACUAUCAGAGCUCAUGGAUUCUGUGGAUAUCAGUGACAUUGACAGAAGAACUUUACAAAACCUUUUGCAACAAUAUUAACAAAAUGGCCCCUUUUCUACAGUGAUAAAUACCUUGUCUCCCUUAUAUAUGUUUGUUCCCCCAGUACUGUAGCUAGGUUGUAAUGGAGCCUUUCCUAAUUUUGUUUUUUUUUUGGAAUUAUGGAGCCUUUUCAAGCAUGCAAUAAUAACAUACCAUAUGUUGGAAUAA